rnacentral:lncRNA from 1 species
AUUUUAUAGUAAAGAAAUUAAACUUUCCAUCUAGAAGUGGAACAAGAUAAGUUUACCCCCCCGUCCAGAAUCUAUCAGACAUUACAGAAGAAUUCUAGCUGACACACAGACCAAACAUCAGAACCACAAAGUCACAACUUUGGAUCCCCAGUGAAAUAAAUGAUUUGGGCAAAAAUUCCUAACAGCUAUGGAGAAAGCUUGAGCAGGACCUUUAUAAUGGAGGAGCCAAGCUGACAAUACCGAUGCCUCCAUCAGUAUUUCUUUUCUUUGUCUUUAAAGAAAGAAAGCAUCUCUAUUUGGAGACUCUUGUUCUUCAUCUUAUUGAUACACAUUCCUUCCACAUAGUCAUGGGGCUCCAUAGAAGUUGACACAGCACUGGAGCAUCCACCUCGCCCUCUGCACGCUCCACCCAACACACGUCCUGACAGCCACGGCGCCUGGCCUCCUGUGUCCUGCUCCUUUCCCCUGGCAUGUGCUCUCCGGCCCCAUCCACGUUGCUGCAAAUGACAGGAUUUCAUCCUUCAGUAAAAUGUUUGUCAACCCCUGUUGUGGAUGAAGCCCGUAAUAAAGGUCAAGAUUUUACAUUUCCUAAGGAAUAGAUAAGGUGACUCUAGACUCUGAGCUGCUCACCGUUCGGGUGUGUGGUCCACCCCGCCCUCCCAUCACAUGACGCCUCUGUCACCUGGCAAUGGCCUCGCACCUACCAGAACAACCACACCCAAUGGCUCCUCCUCCUUGAAGCCGCUUCGCAGCCAGCACUGUCUUCAAGAAAUCUUCCCUCACCCUUUACCCCCUUCCCUCCCUCCACAGCCUGGGUGUGGUCCCCUUUUUGAUCUCCCCAAAUAACUGCCCAGGUGUCACACUGCACACUUGACAUGCAGCUGGUAUCCAGCUGCAUCCCCUCAGCUAUAGCGCAGGUGAGCUGUAAUUAUCUUUUCUGUUACUUACGUGUUGCUGCAUGAGAAACUACUCCCAAAACAUAGAGACUUAAAGUAAUAUUUAUCCCGAGCAGAUCAGAAACGGGGUGCCUGGGCUGGGCACGUCUUCGGAGGCUGCAGGCAGGCUGCGUCUGAAACCCUCCUGGAGCUGAGUACCCCGUCCUGCCUGCCUCACGUCCUUUGCUGGCUGGGGGUCAGAGGCACAGCUCCCCCCUGCAGGGGCCGUCCGGACAACCUGACAACCCGCUUCAACUAACGUCAGAAGUGCAAAGGAGCGAGAAGCCAAAGCCAUGGGCGUUUACACCCUCGCUUGCCGAGCAACAGCUCAUAUUGGAGUCUCUAAUUCACAGACCGAACCUCAGGCAGUGUCAGGACAGCAAGGGUCCCUGCAGCCUCCUGAGUGACCUGCAGGUUUCCCGUCCCUGCAGACACUGACCAUGGUGUCCACUCCACAGUGGAGUCUUCCUGCAUUUUUGCUUAAAUAAGUAAAUGUAGAACUAUGAACGGGGCAGGCAGUGGUGGCAAUCGUGUGCAGUCCAGAUGCUAGGUGGGUGCUCGCUCCCUUAGACGCCGACUUGCGCAAAAGGGGAGAGGCCACAAGGGAAGAAAGUCUGAGCUCCUGGCCUUCCAGAACCCACUCUGCAACCAGUGUGGCUGAACUCACUGUCCAGCCCUCUCGGACCUGUGACAGCCAGGGCUGCUCAGCCGUGGAGACUCAGACUGCGCCAGACACGACGACAAUGAUGACAGCAGCAGCAAUGAUACCAUAAUAGGCUCCUCCUCAUAACUGAGAAGCAUCACCUUGAAAUACGGCUUUCUCAUUCUGUUUUAUUUUUGCUUUUGUUUGCAGUACUGGGGAUUGAACCCAAAGAACACUGAGCUACAUUCCCAGAACGUUUUAUGUUUUAUUUUGAGACAGAGCCUCACUAAGUUACCCCAAGCUGACCUCAUACUUGUGAUUCUCCUGCCUCAGCCUCCAGAGUAGCUGGGAUUAUAGGCAGGUGCCACUACACCAAGCUAUUUGUUGUAAAAUCAGUAGGAUCAUCUGGAUAGC